UAUUUUAGAAGUAAAAAAUUAUAUCAACAUAACUGUCAAAUUAAAGCAAUUAGUAUUUACAAAAUACUUUACUAUUGUAACUUACAAACUAUAAUUCCUAAAUCUCAAUUCCAAACACACGCUAAUAAGGAUAUUCAAAUUCUCAAACUCAAACCAUGAGCCGGGAAGACGUCCGUAGCAAAACUAACAAUGGUUGGUUGCUUUUUUUUAAAAAAAUAUUUAAAGCCACCAAAUUUUUGUUUUCAUUUAUAAUUUAAAAAAUUACUCCUGCGAUAUUAAUGAGGAUACUCGAAUCCUUAAACUCAAGUCAUGAACUAACAAUGGUAGGCUGCUUUUUUCUUUUUUUUUUUCAAAAAAAUAUUUAAUGCUAGCAAAUUUUUGUUUUCAUUUAUGCAUAAUUUCAAAGAUUUUGUUUUAACAAAGUUACCAUUUGACAACAACAUUCCAAAGGCAAGUUAUCAACAUUUUUACCAAAUAUUCAUCCAAUUCAAAGGUCACAGACAACUAGUUAUUGCUCACAUAAUCAAAUGCUCAAAUUUUCAUUCCUAAAGAAGUUUGUGCCACUGUAACUUUUAAAUGACUUUCCAAAUAUUUGACGGUCCCGUCCCAUUUGGAGGGUGGUGACUCAUAGAUAGAGGGAGCGUGGGGCAGUGGCACCCUAAAAACUAAGGGACAAAAGGUCCUUUUGAAGCAUUGAUCACACGCACACCAUGCCCCGAAAUACCGAUGAUGCAAGAAAUGCAUGCCCGUUUCAACAGCUCGUUUCCACGUGUACUAGCGCUUGUAAUUCACGCCGCUUCCUUAGCGGUUGGGUUUCAGACAAAAGCUUAUCGUACCAAGAAAUUUUUUGGUUUAAAAGGAUAAUUGAAAAUGCACUUUCCACCUGGCCACUUACGGAGAGAAUCCAAUGACAAAGCCAGCUUUUAUCAGUUCAAAAACUCGGCUUUUCAUCGUAUCACGAGAUAUUGAGCUAUUUUUUUUUUAGAAAUAUAUAAAAUUUCUUGCAAAUUAUUUUUUUUUUUUUCAAAAGAUGAAACAUUUAAUCUAUUAUUUUGAAAGCUUUGUGAGAGGAACUAAUGCAAUUUCUUGGAUUUUAG
rnacentral:lncRNA from 1 species